rnacentral:rRNA from 1 species
GGGGAAUAUUGCGCAAUGGGGGAAACCCUGACGCAGCAACGCCGCGUGAAGGAUGAAGGUCUUCGGAUUGUAAACUUCUUUGAUGAGGGACGAACACAAUGACGGUACCUCAAAAACAAGCCACGGCUAACUACGUGCCAGCAGCCGCGGUAAUACGUAGGUGGCGAGCGUUGUCCGGAAUUACUGGGUGUAAAGGGCGUGUAGGCGGGAAAGCAAGUCAGAUGUGAAAUACCGGGGCUUAACCCCGGGGCUGCAUCUGAAACUGUUUUUCUUGAGUGUCGGAGAGGAAAGCGGAAUUCCUAGUGUAGCGGUGAAAUGCGUAGAUAUUAGGAGGAACACCAGUGGCGAAGGCGGCUUUCUGGACGACAACUGACGCUGAGGCGCGAAAGCGUGGGGAGCAAAC